UUUGAAAAAUAAAAAUCUUGUUCGUGGAAAUGGGGUUUAAUUCCUCUACUGUGCCGCAACGGUAAAGAUUCACUUUUAGUGGAUACGAGUCCGGUCUUCGAAUAAGAUUCGUUUCCCGAGCAGGAAGAAGUUUUUUGGUCAUC
rnacentral:sRNA from 2 species